AUUGAACGCUGGCGGCAGGCCUAACACAUGCAAGUCGAGCGCGCGGCGGACGGGUGAGUACUGUAUGGGGACUGCCCGAUAGCGGGGGAUAACUACUGGACACGGUAGCUAAUACCGCAUACUAUCGGAUAACACAUAUGGGAUAAGCUAGUGGGUGAGGUAAUGGCUCACCUAGGCGACGAUCCCUAGCUGGUCUGAGAGGGGGAUCCGCGACACUGGGACUGAGACACGGCCCAGACUCCUACGGCGGCAGCAGUGGGGAAUAUUGCACAAUUGGCGCAAGCCUGAGGCAGCCAUGCCGCGUGGAUGAAGAAGGCCCUAGGAUUGUAAAGUACUUUCAGUCGGGAGGCGUUACCGACAGAAGAAGCACCGGCUAACUCCGUGCCAGCAGCCGCGGUAAUAC
rnacentral:rRNA from 1 species